GCUGAACACUCUUCUGAAUGAUCCAAGCAGUAAGAAGUUUGAACCCAGCUCAUCCAACUUCACGAGCACAUUAGACCAAAUUCAUGGCAAAAUUUAUUAUACCUUCCAAGAUGGAGCUGAGAUACAACCUAUCAGUUUCCUAAAUGAGCUUCGUAAACUGAUGGGACUGAGUACUACAACAACUCCAUUGACAACAAGUAGCUUCUCUGUGACAUCAUUCCAGCCAAU